rnacentral:rRNA from 1 species
CCUACGGGCGGCAGCAGUCGAGAAUCAUUCACAAUGGGGGAAACCCUGAUGGUGCGACGCCGCGUGGGGGAAUGAAGGUCUUCGGAUUGUAAACCCCUGUCAUGUGGGAGCAAAUUAAAAAGAUAGUACCACAAGAGGAAGAGACGGCUAACUCUGUGCCAGCAGCCGCGGUAAUACAGAGGGCUCAAGCGUUGUUCGGAAGCACUGGGCGUAAAGCGUGCGGAGGCGGUUUCGUAGGUCGUGUGUGAAAGGCGCGGGCUCAACCCGCGGACGGCACAUGAUACUGCGUGACUAGAGUGAUGGAGGGGGAACCGGAAUUCUCGGUGUAGCAGUGAAAUGCGUAGAUAUCGAGAGGAACACUCGUGGCGAAGGCGGGUUCCUGGACAUUAACUGACGCUGAGGCACGAAGGCCAGGGGAGCGAAAGGGAUUAGAUACCCUUGUAGUC